rnacentral:rRNA from 1 species
UGACGAACCGUGAUGUCAUUAAUUUGGUGUUGCGGGAAAUCAGGACUGUUACUUUGAAAAAAUUAGAGUGUUUAAAGCAGGCUAACGCUUGAAUACAUUAGCACGGAAUAAUGAAAUAGGACGUUAAUCCUAUUUUGUUGGUUUCUAGGAUCGACGUAAUGAUUAAUAGGGAUAGUUGGGGGCAUUAGUAUUCAAUUGUCAGAGGUGAAAUUCUUGGAUUUAUUGAAGACUAACUACUGCGAAAGCAUUUGCCAAGGAUGUUUUCAUUAAUCAAGAACGAAAGUUAGGGGAUCGAAGACGAUCAGAUACCGUCGUAGUCUUAACCAUAAACUAUGCCGACAAGGGAUCGGAUGAUGUUAUUUUUAA